rnacentral:snRNA from 1 species
AUACCUUUCUCGGCCUUUUGGCUAAGAUCAAGUGUAGUAUCUGUUCUUAUCAGUUUAAUAUCUGAUAUGUGAACCAUUGGUUCACACGAUAUUAAAUUUAUUUUUUAAGGGAGAGGCCAAUUACAGUAGCUUGCUACUGAGGCUUUUGGAGCAUUGUCUUUGCUUUGCACUACAGCAAAAGACUAGUGCAUCCCAC